AUGUACAUUUGCCCCAAAAGAGGGGGCACAGCUGGGGUUCACUGUCUCCCUGGAGGCUUGGUUUUUCUGGUACAGCUCAACGCUGCCUCCCACUUUCCUGCGGUGCAUUCUGCUCAGCUGGUCGGUGAGGAGAGGGCGCAGAGCGGCACCAUGAGCUCCCUCACUGCCGUCUGCCUGCCAUUUGCUGCCACUGGGGACCUGAGACUGCUUCCAUGGAAACAGAACCAUGGAUUGUUUUUCCAGAAAACGUCUCAAUCUAAUUUGUGUAGAGCUGCGUUGUGUGUGUGGACGUGUGUGUGUGCUUCAGUUGCAGAAGGGGGUGAGAAGCGGGAAGAGGGAAUUUGCAUAGAACCUCCAAUUUUCCUCAAUUCCCAGGGAGUAGAUGAUUCCAGAGAAGCAAUAGAUACCACCAUGCAAGAGAUGAACCUCCAAGGGUGACAAGAUGCAGUGGGAGUAGAACAGAACAAAAGUGAAGGCAUAUUUGGGUGAGUGACUUAUUUCUGCCCCUUGCUGGCUGUGUGAAUUUGGGCUAGUUAUUUGUGAUGUGAAGUUUCAAUUUCCUCCUCCAUUAAGGGGAAAAAAAGUGGCUAUCUUCUUGCUUCGUUGCAAAAAUUAAGUGAUAUAACUCAUGUGAAGUACUUUGUACCAUAUCUAAAAUUUGAUGAAUGCUUACAGAAUGUGAGCUUUAUUAUCUUUAUUAUUAUCAUUACUGUUAGUAGUAUAUAUUGCUGCAUAACAAACUGCCUCAGUGCAACUAUUUAUUUAUUCAUGAAUCUGCAAUUUGGUCAGGGGUCAGUGGGAAUGACUCAUUUCUGUUCCAUGAUUUCAGCCGGCAUGGCUGAAAUGGGACUGGAGGAUUCACUUCCAUGACUGACAAGUUAGUGCCAGAUUUGGGUUAGUGUUUAGCUGGGGUCCUCAGUUCCUUGAUAUGUGGUUCCCUCCAUGAGGCUGCUUUUGCUUCCCCAUGUCAUGAUGGGGAUGAGGAUUUUAAAGAUAGGAAGUAGGAGCUGUCAGAUUUAAGGACAAGACCCAGAAACUGGUACAGCAUUGCUACUGUCAUAUUUCACUGGCAAGCAGUCACAAGCCCACCCAGAUCCAUAGGAGGAGGACAUGCACUCCACUUCUCGGUAGGGAGGAUUCAUGGUCAUCUUUCAUCUACCAUGUAAUGGAAUAAAAAAUAAACUCAGGAAAAGCCUACA
rnacentral:lncRNA from 13 species